rnacentral:lncRNA from 1 species
UCAGGGAUGCAAGACAGAGAAACCAACCUUUUCCCUCCUCCAGGGAGAGCUCCGGGAGGAAAGGCAAGAACGAGAAGGGUGCUCUCUCUGGAGGCCGAAGAGUUAACAUUUCCUGGAUUCCUCACACCCAUCCUCGGCCAGGCCGGCUGGUCCAGCCCCUCCACGUCCACCCCAGCCCGCCCCAAAGGUGCUUGGUGCUGAAGUUUGAGGAUGAAGGCUGGUCUGUAGCCAGGACCAACUUGGAUCUCUUGACCCACUGAAGGCAGGAAGACUUGGCAGAAGGUCAGAGGUUUCAAUAUGUCUUUUCUAAACUUGCUUGGGAGUACAGUUCCUUUGGAGCUCUGUGGCCCUAAUUUAUUUUUAAAUGGUAUUGGUUAAGCACUUACCAUGUGCCAGGUGCUGUACUAAGCACCAGAGUCUCGUCUUAAGCCGUCGGGUCGUCUCCGAUCCAUAGGGACGCCAUGGACGCAUCUCUCCUAGAAUUAAUUCAUUCAGUUGUAUUUAUUGAGCACUUAUU